rnacentral:sRNA from 1 species
AUGGAGAAGACAGAGCACACAACAAUAUCCACAAAUGGCAUAAACAUGCACGUAGCGUCAAUAGGGACAGGCCCAGUCAUACUCUUCCUCCACGGCUUUCCUGAGCUCUGGUACUCAUGGCGCCACCAGCUUCUCUUCCUAUCCUCCAAUGGCUACCGCUGCGUCGCCCCCGACCUCCGCGGAUAUGGAGACACUGAUGCCCCGCCCUCUGCCUCCUCCUACACCUCCUUCCACAUUGUCGGUGACCUUAUAGGCCUGCUUGACCAUUUGGGUAUCGAUCAGGUCUUCUUGGUGGGUCAUGACUUGGGAGCUAAGAUGGCCUGGCACUUUUGCUGGUUCAGGCCAGACCGAGUGAAAGCUGUGGUCAACUUGAGCGUGCCAUUUUUCCCAGGAACCCAGCCAUAAAGUUUGUGGAUGGCUUGAGAGCUUCAUUGGUGAUGACUAUUAUUAUUGCUGGUCUCAGGUAAUUCUGUUAUCCUAAUCAAUCAAUCAAUCAAUCAUCUAUCGUGCACCAUUUGAAAAUAAAGAAAUUGGAUUUUAUUUUUCAUUUUAAAAUGAUUUGAAUAAAAUAUGAAAAGUGAAAUUUCUUUUAUUCAUGAAAUUCAUGAAUAGAUUAGAAUCACGUUACAUAAUAUCGAAACUAAGAUUAAAUUUUAAAUUCAUAAGUAUUUUAUUAAUAUAAAAUCAUCAAAACUCCAAUUUAUUCGAAAAAAUUACAUUGACACUUUCGAGUAUAGUGAAAUUAUAUUUACUGCUCCUGAUUUUAAAGAAAUAAUAUUCAACCCCCAAAAUGAUAAGAAUAAGUGACAUUUCCCCCUUCUUUUGGAAUAGAGUAUCAAUUGUUUUGAUUAUUUGGUGUUGAAAAUGGGUGGAGUACGCAAAAUAAAUUUAUUAGUGAAAUUAGAUCUGCGAUGAUUCUCAAAAAAGAAAAAAAAAAAGAAAAAGAGAGAGAGAGAGAGAGAGAGAGAGAGAGAGAGAGAGAGUCUGAUUGAAAGGACUAUAGGCAAUUCAAAAGUGGAGUAUAGUUUUAAAAAACCAAACUAAACCAGCCAAUUGUAUUGGUUCAAUAGGAAUUGGGCACCAAUUCGGUUCGAUAAAACCUGUCUCAUCGGCCUUGAUUUUGAACUGACUCCCCUGGGCGAGACUUCCUAAAACCGACCAAAACUAAGAACCAAGAGCAAAUACAAUUUUUUGACCGUACCAUUUUUAAAACCAUGUUAAUGGAGUAUGGAUUUUGUAGGUACUCAAGAAUUCUUUGCCUUUGGCUUUGGCUUUUUUGGCUUGAUUGUCUUGCCUUGCCUUUGGCUUGAAUUCUUUGUCCCACAUUGGAAAGAUGUCUUUCCUCUUUCUACCUUAUAAGGGAUGAACCAAUGGAGUAAGAGUACCAUUAGUUUGGUUAAGACCAAACUGAGUCAAGGAGGUUAAGACCAAACUAAUGGUACUCUUACUCUAUUGGUUCAUCCAUUAUAAGGUAGAAAGAGGGAAAGACAUCUUUCCAAUGUGGGACAAAAGAAUUCAAGCCAAAGGCAAGGCAAGGCAAUCAAGCCAAAAAAGCCAAAACCAAAGGCAAAGAAUUCUUGAGUACCUAUAGAGUUCAAUCUUUAUAUUUUCUUUGGUUGCUUAAGAAUAAAAAUGAGAUGGUUAAAGAUGUAAUUUGGGUGAAUUUUUAAAAAAGUGGUUGGAAUAGGAUAAAAAUGACAGUAAGUGGGGUGCGGGGAGGAAUUAGCAACUAUAUUAUUUUGACUUGACUAUUCAUUUUCACCCAAGUUUUUUCUCUGAUUUUGGGUAAAAACAAUUUGAUAAGUUCGAGAUGAAAACACUUGAGUCUUACCAUUUUUCCCCUUGUUUUCCAUUGUUAACUGAACAAUGAAAAGCAUCAAUUUUCUACCCAAUUUUCCAUCCUCCAUUUUUUCACCUCAACCAAACAUAGGCAAUACACUUGUUCAUUUCCAUGGUGUUCAAAUUUGUGUGUUAAUAGUAGUUUGUAGUCCAUGAUUAUCUUGUCAUUAUUCUUCAUCUUCAAUGAACUGCUAAACACUACUGUAGGAACCUGGACAGGCUGAAAAAGAUUUUGCUUGUGUCGAUACUGCAAUUCUAAUGAAGAAGAUGUUUUCAGUUUUUGGUCCAAAUCUUCUAUUUAUACCUAAAUAAAUAGGAUUUAGCGGAUUGCGAACUCCAGAUAUCAUGUCCUCAUGGUUGAUAGAAGAAGAUAUUGAUUAUUACACGAGCAAAUUCAACCAAAAAGGUUUCACUGGGGACGAAAUGGGUAACUAAACAUAAAAUUCUAACUAUAUAAUUAGUUGUCAACGUUUUCAAACUAUAUUUUUUAUUAGCAUCUUGAGUUUCAAAGACUCGAUUUUGGCCCAUAAAUCAAGUCUCAAAGACUCAAUUUUCAUGGCCUAAUCAUAUUCGAUGUGGUAUAUUUUUCCACGUGGCGACCACAUGGAAAUCGAGUUUCUAAUACUCGAUUUCCAACCCUUAUAAAUAUCAACAAAUAAGAGAGGUACCAGAACAGAGAACAACCCAGAGAAGAAGAAAAAAAAAAAAAACCAGAAGGAGAAGAUCCAGAUCGGACCAUCGCGCGUGACCCAGGCUGCGCGCCAGCUCCGACCGCACCUGGCUGGUGAGGUGAGCUCUUUCUCUCCCUCUGAUCUAAGUUUGGAUUGAGAUUGAUGUGUUUUGGAUUUUUGAAAUUUGUUUUUGGGUAUUUUGGUACAUGGACUUAGAACUUUUUUAAAAAAAAAUUGUGUUAGAAAUCAAGUCUUAGAAACUCGAUUUUCAUGUGAUCGCCACGUGGAAAAAUAUGCCACAUCGGAUAUGAUUAGGCCAUGAAAAUCGAGUCUUUAAGACUCGAUUUAUAGGCCAAAAUCGAGUCUUUGAAACUCGAGAUGCUAGUAAAAAAUAUAGUUUGAAAACGUUGACAACUAAUUAUAUAGUUAGAAUUUUAUGUUUAGUUACCCAUUUCGUCAUUUCGUCUUUUCACUGGAGGAUUGAACUAUUAUCGAGCUGCUAACCUGUAGGUUUCUUGCUUCUUUCUAUUGACUUUUGGAUGAGUAUUAUGUGUAUUAUUUAAGAGUAGUGUAGGGUUUCCACUAACUCAUUCUUAAACAUUACUUACCACAAAAUUAUAAGUGUCUAUGUAGCCAUUUUUAGUUUGGGUGAGACAUAAAAACAUUGAUUCUCUCCUCUUGCAGAACCUGGGAGCUCACAGCACCGUGGACUGGAUUACAAAUCAAAGUACCAGCAAAGUUUAUGGUGGGUGACCUAGACAUUGUCUACCAUAUGCCAGGUACUAAGGAAUAUAUACACGAUGGUGGCUUCAAGAAGGAUGUUCCAAAUUUGCAAGAUGUAGUUGUGAUGGAAGGAGUAGCUCACUUUAUCAACCAAGUAAAGCCAGAGGAGAUCAAUGCACACAUAUAUGACUUUGUAAAGAAAUUUUAAUUGUCAUUGCCUGCAUUGGCAUGCUAAUUUAUUGAAUGUUUGAUCUGCAUUUGAUAUUAUAGCUUCGACAUGCCAACACAAUGUUUGAUUAAGUUAAUAAAGAGUCCAUAGGGCGAGAGUCAGAAUUAUUACUAUUGAUUGGGGGCAUGGUUAAGUUCAUGUUCCUGUAUCCUGACAAAAGAAUUCAAGCCAAAGGCAAGGCAAGGCAAUCAAGCCAAAAAAGCCAAAACCAAAGGCAAAGAAUUCUUGAGUACCUAUAGAGUUCAAUCUUUAUAUUUUCUUUGGUUGCUUGAGAAUAAAAACGAGAUGGUUAAAGAUGUAAUUUGGGUGAAUUUUCUAAAAAAGUGGUUGGAAUAGGAUAAAAAUGACAGUAAGUGGGGUGUGGGGAGGAAUUAGCAACUAUAUUAUUUUGACUUGACUAUUCAUUUUCACCCAAGUUUUUUCUCUGAUUUUGGGUAAAAACAAUUUGAUAAGUUCGAGAUGAAAACACUUGAGUCUUACCAUUUUUCCCCUUGUUUUCCAUUGUUAACUGAACAAUGAAAAGCAUCAAUUUUCUACCCAAUUUUCCAUCCUCCAUUUUUUCACCUCAACCAAACAUAGGCAAUACACUUGUUCAUUUCCAUGGUGUUCAAAUUUGUGUGUUAAUAGUAGUUUGUAGUCCAUGAUUAUCUUGUCAUUAUUCUUCAUCUUCAAUGAACUGCUAAACACUACUGUAGGAACCUGGACAGGCUGAAAAAGAUUUUGCUUGUGUCGAUACUGCAAUUCUAAUGAAGAAGAUGUUUUCAGUUUUUGGUCCAGAUCUUCUAUUUAUACCCAAAUACGUAGGAUUUAGCGGAUUGCGAACUCCAGAUAUCAUGUCCUCAUGGUUGAUAGAAGAAGAUAUUGAUUAUUACACGAGCAAAUUCAACCAAAAAGGUUUCACUGGGGACGAAAUGGGUAACUAAACAUAAAAUUCUAACUAUAUAAUUAGUUGUCAACGUUUUCAAACUAUAUUUUUUAUUAGCAUCUUGAGUUUCAAAGACUCGAUUUUGGCCCAUAAAUCAAGUCUCAAAGACUCAAUUUUCAUGGCCUAAUCAUAUUCGAUGUGGCAUAUUUUUCCACGUGGCGACCACAUGGAAAUCGAGUUUCUAAUACUCGAUUUCCAACCCUUAUAAAUAUCAACAAAUAAGAGAGGUACCAGAACAGAGAACAACCCAGAGAAGAAGAAAAAAAAAAAAAACCAGAAGGAGAAGAUCCAGAUCGGACCAUCGCGCGUGACCCAGGCUGCGCGCCAGCUCCGACCGCACCUGGCUGGUGAGGUGAGCUCUUUCUCUCCCUCUGAUCUAAGUUUGGAUUGAGAUUGAUGUGUUUUGGAUUUUUGAAAUUUGUUUUUGGGUAUUUUGGUACAUGGACUUAGAACUUUUUUAAAAAAAAAUUGUGUUAGAAAUCAAGUCUUAGAAACUCGAUUUUCAUGUGAUCGCCACGUGGAAAAAUAUGCCACAUCGGAUAUGAUUAGGCCAUGAAAAUCGAGUCUUUAAGACUCGAUUUAUAGGCCAAAAUCGAGUCUUUGAAACUCGAGAUGCUAGUAAAAAAUAUAGUUUGAAAACGUUGACAACUAAUUAUAUAGUUAGAAUUUUAUGUUUAGUUACCCAUUUCGUCAUUUCGUCUUUUCACUGGAGGAUUGAACUAUUAUCGAGCUGCUAACCUGUAGGUUUCUUGCUUCUUUCUAUUGACUUUUGGAUGAGUAUUAUGUGUAUUAUUUAAGAGUAGUGUAGGGUUUCCACUAACUCAUUCUUAAACAUUACUUACCACAAAAUUAUAAGUGUCUAUGUAGCCAUUUUUAGUUUGGGUGAGACAUAAAAACAUUGAUUCUCUCCUCUUGCAGAACCUGGGAGCUCACAGCACCGUGGACUGGAUUACAAAUCAAAGUACCAGCAAAGUUUAUGGUGGGUGACCUAGACAUUGUCUACCAUAUGCCAGGUACUAAGGAAUAUAUACACGAUGGUGGCUUCAAGAAGGAUGUUCCAAAUUUGCAAGAUGUAGUUGUGAUGGAAGGAGUAGCUCACUUUAUCAACCAAGUAAAGCCAGAGGAGAUCAAUGCACACAUAUAUGACUUUGUAAAGAAAUUUUAAUUGUCAUUGCCUGCAUUGGCAUGCUAAUUUAUUGAAUGUUUGAUCUGCAUUUGAUAUUAUAGCUUCGACAUGCCAACACAAUGUUUGAUUAAGUUAAUAAAGAGUCCAUAGGGCGAGAGUCAGAAUUAUUACUAUUGAUUGGGGGCAUGGUUAAGUUCAUGUUCCUGUAUCCGCUUUCUCAAAAUCUCUCUUUUCAUUGUAUGUUCUCUUAAUAAGUAAGGGAUGCCAACAGGACAAGGCAGGGUAAGAUGACUCAGAUCAAAGGUGAAACAAAAAGGAAAGGGACAGUUGUGAGAGUGCAAAGAGAGAAAAAACGUUUUAGUAUGGUAAUAAAAUAUGUACAAAAAAUACAUUAUAAAUAAAACAAGUUUUAAAAAAUUAUAUUCGUGUACACACAUAUUCUAGGUGGGGCAAGACAAGGCAAGGUGAGCAAAACCUAUCCCUGCCCGGUCACCUCUUCAGGGUGGGAAAAACUCAUGCUGGGCAAAGUAUUACAAGACAAGUUAAACGGGAUGAGAAUGAUCGAGCUUUUGAUGACUUUUUUUAUAUUGAGUCACGUAUGCUUUGAAGACCUCCUAAAUUUACACAUCAUCACUAUUUUCUUUUGGAUAAAUUUUGGUAACUUACCCUGAAGUUUGAGUUAAUGACAACGAAGUCUAAAACAUUCCAAAACUAACCAACUUGGUCUCUAAACACCAUUGGGUCUAUUAGUCAUUCUAACACAUUUCUUCUCUCUCUCCUUGCUUUAAUUCUCUCUUCUCUCUCCGUGUGUAUACCAAACCCAUACUAAAUCAGCAAAACCACCGCCUCACCACAAUUGUUCAAAAGCCCACCACCACAAACAAAUCUUACACACACUAACUAAUUUAGACACAUACACAUGGCAUAAAUAACAUUUAUAUGAACUAUACAUCCAUACCCAUUUAAAAUCAACCCUAAAAUCCCCUUUUUCCAAACCCUAAUAGCCAAGCUCCUCAAAAUAAAAAAUUCUUAGUACACCAUUUUACAAACCCAAUUCAAAAUCACUAAAUCCCUAUAACCAACCAAAAACCCAAUCCCUAAAUUAACCAAACCAAAAACCAUAAACAAAAGAGGGUUUCGGCCAUAAACAAUAGGAGAAAAUAAAUGAGAAAAAAUAAAGAAGAGAAUAAUAGAGAUAUAGGGUAGAGAAAGCGAUAGCCAACGGUUGUGGUGAUAUCGUUGAGCUCAAUUGCCAUCAGUGGUGACAUGGGCUUCAUGGAGCUCUUCCAUGGUUGUGAGAGAGAGAGAGAUGCUCACAAUGGUUUUGGCUUGCUAGUGGUAGCCAUGAGGUUUUGGGGGAUCCAAGUUUAGGGUUAGGGAGAGAAUGAGAUAAGUGGAGAUGAGAGAAGAGAGGGAUUAGAAUGACUAAUGAGCUUAAUGAUGUUUAAGGACCAAGUUGUGUUUAGAAACCAAAUUGGUUAAGUUUGAAAUGUCUUAAACCUAGCUAAUGUUAGCCAAAACCUCAGACUAAGUUUCUGAAAUUAAACUUUUUCUUUUUAAUUUUUUAAAGUUGAAUUUUUAUAAUCUUACUAUUUGACAAUUCCUAUUCUCUCAAUCUCAAUUUCUCAGAUUGCAGACCUUCCCCUCUUCAUUUUCUCAUGGUCAGCCAAACCACAGAUUGAAAUCAAUGGAGUUGCAGAAGCCCUCCGCCUCUCUUACUAAUUCACCUCUUCCCUCUCACAACAUAUUCAAAUUCCUACCGCUUCGGUUUUGUACUACCAGUUCCAUACUCCUCAGUCUGAUUCAACUCAGUGUGCAAUUUGCAAAUGAUGUUCAAACUUCAAAGAAACCCAAAUGCGAUCACCAAUAGACUUUUAUUUCAACACCGGCCAGUUUUUUUUUUUUUUGGGUGGAUUUUUUAACACCAGUCGUUCUUCUUUACAUACAACUGAUUUCACUCUUGUCCUUAAAAUUAGGAAUGGCAUCAAUAGAAACGUUUUAAUGUUCCCGCAUUCGUAUUAUACUUCCAACCAUGCACUGUUUGUAUACUCACACACUGUUUGUAUACUCACAGUUAACAGAUUGAGAAAGAAGAGCAGCACUAGAGAACAGGCGCAUUCCAAAAUCCAAAUAAUAGGGAGAGGGGUUCCUCUCAGUUUUGCUGGUUUGUCUACAGACUUUGCCAUGUUGACAAACAUACACAACCAAACAAAAAACCAUUCCAAAUAUGGUCUGGACUGAAGUCCACACCUAGUAAAAGUCCCAAAGUUACUCGAGCAGAUGACAUUAAGUAUCGAACAAUAAUGCUUGUCAUCAAACUAACCAAAGCAUUUUUGAAUUACAUAAAUGUUCCAAGUCAUACAAUUCGACCAUUCUUAGACAAAACAAAAGAACUAAAUAAACGGGCGCGAGAACUUCAAUGGCAUGGUACAAGGACAAACACAUUUGCUGGUGAACAAGUCCAGUCCCCCCCAACAUAG